UUUUUAUGUUAUGCAGUGAAGCAGAAGAAAACUUGUUACUAGUAGAUGAAUCAGCUGGAGCUAUUGGUUGCUCUGUUACUGAUAAUAUGGUGGAGGAACUAACAAGAGGAGACAAAGGAACAAUUGAUAAACUAAUAAUAGAAUUAAAUCUCGUGGAGGAUGAGCCUUCAAGCACUUUUAAUGAUUUGAGUACUUUAAUGUCUAAAUUAAGAAUAAUUAUGUCAGCAGUGACUUGCAUUUGUUGUAUUUUUAUUAAAUACUGUAGGGUUGGUAAAAUUUUAUGGUGUCUAAAUUUCAUACUUGCUUGAACUUUUUAAAAAUUUAUUUCUUAAUCUCUAACAAAACACAUUUUGGUAUUGAAUUGAGUGUUUCAUCAUAGAUAGACUGUACUAUGGCUUAAUGUUCAUCAUCUGAUGGUUAAUGUUCAUAGUUAAUCACAAAAACUGA